rnacentral:lncRNA from 10 species
GCCUCACCGGCAGUGCCCUAGUCUUCCAGGCAUCCACUGACUUUCUCCUGCAGCCUCCUCCUUCCCCCAAAGUCAGAGGAUGUAGACUGCUCUGAAGGGGGAGAGGGGAGAAAGGGGCUCAAUGCUCAUUCCCUGGCGUUUCUGACAGCUCAGCCUGCUGCCCUCUCUCUCCUGGGCUCAAGAACAGUAUGUGGGAAUACGGACACAUUCCCCAAGGCUCUGUUACCGGCUCCUGACACAGAAUUCCACAUUUUUGGCCCCUCAUUUCCCACUUCCCAUGCUAAUCUGCCGCUUCUUGGACGGUGCUUUUUAUUUCUGGUGGAAGCAUUGAGUAUUGGUGGAACUGAAUACUAAGCUGUCUGGCAAAGUAGAAAUCUAAUCUCCAGAGGCUCAGCUCCAGCAUCAUAAAGAAAAGUAUAUCCCCAGAGUCAAAGCAUAAAGGAAAAGAAUAGGUGUAUGGAUUUGGACAGAGAGGAAACCAUAUACAUAUGCCUAAUGAUUUAUAUAUUGGUUUACUCAUUACAUUAAAAAAUAAUAACAAAGGACUGAGAUUAACCUCAGUUAAUAACAAAGGACUGAGAUAGUCCUUUGAUUAUUCAUCAAAGAGGGACAGAUCAAAUAGAUUUUCAGAUAUCUGUACAAAAACUGCUAUCUAGGUGUAUAAAAAAUGAAGACUACCUUUAUGUAUGAAAUAAUCUCCAAAAGAUAUUGUUAAGUGGAAAAAUCUCUCUUACACCAUUGUUCCAGUCUAGCCUGGUUGGUCCAUAUGGUGACUGCACAGGUAUCUGGGACUCCUCUUUACUACUCUUCUGAAUCUACUCUUCCUGGGUCCUAAGUCUUACUCAUUCUUCAGUCGUUUCUCAAGAAGUGAUAGAUAGGAAAUUAAAAGCGAGUUGAAAAACAGUGCAUACAGUAUACUACUAUUUGUGUAAAAUUUGUGGGAUAAUGCAUGUGAAUUUCAUUAUGCAGUUAUGCACUGCAUGAUGAUGUUUUGGUUGAUGACAGAUUGCACAUAUGAUGGUAGUCCCCUAAGAUUAUAAUGGAGCUGAAAAACUCCUAUCCCCUAGCAAUGUCAUAGCCAUCAAAAGGUAAAGACAUAGCACAAUGCAUUACCCACAUAUUUGUAGUGAUCCUGGUGUAAACAAACCAACUGUGCUGCCAGUCAUAUCAAAGGAUAGCACAUAUUAUUAUGUACAGUACAUAAUACUUACUAAUGAAUGACUGUUACUGGUUUAUGUAUUAAGCUUACUAUACUCUUUCAUCAUUAUUUUGGAGUGUACUUUUUCUACGUAUUAAAAAAAAUUAACUGCAAAACAACCUCGGGCAGGUUCUUCAGGAGGGAUUCCAAAAGACGGCAUUGUUACCAUAGGAGAUGACAGCUCCAUAUGUUAUUGUCCCUGAAAACCAUUCAAUGAAACAAGAUGUGGAGGUGGAAGACAGUAAUAUUGAUGAUCCUGACCCUGUGUAAGCCUAGGUUAACAUGUGCAUUUGUGUCUUAGUUUCUAACAAAAGCAUUUAUAAAGUAAAAAUGUUACAGUAACCUAAAGUUAAUUUAUUAUUGAAGAAAGAAAAAUAUUUUAAGAUAAAUUUAGUGUAGCCUAAGUGUAGAGUGUUUAUAAAGUCUACAGUAGUGUAGAGUAAUGUACUAGACCUCCACGUUCACCUGCCACUCACUCACUGACUCACCCAGAGCAACUUCCAGUCCCACAAGCUCCAUUCAUGGUAAGUACCCUAUACAAGUGUACCAUUUUUAAUCUUUUAUACCAUAUUUUUACUGUACAUUUUCUAUGAUUGGAUAUGUUUAGAUACAGCAAUACUUACCAUUGUGUUACAAUUGCCUACAGUACAAAGUACAGUCACAUGCUGUAGGAGUUUGUAGCCUAGGAGUAAGAGGCUGUACCAUGUAGCCUAGGUGUGUGGCAGGCUGUAUGAUUUAGGUUUGUGUAAAUUCACUCUGUGAUGUUUGCAUAACCACAAAAUCACCUAACAACACAUUUCUCAGAAUAUAGUCCUAGUCUCUAAGCAACAUAGGACUGUAUAUGAAUAAAAUAUCACUGAUAGCAUUGAUAGUAACUGGUAGCACUGGUUGCCUCCAGGGAGGACAGCUAGAUGGCUGAGAGACAGGGGUAUAAAGGAGACUUUCCUCUGCAUAUCCUUUUUGAAUCUUUUGAAUUUUGAACCAUAUCAUUGCAUUAUGGACUUAAAUCAUUUUAAA